rnacentral:tRNA from 1 species
AGUAAUAUGUCUGAAUUAAAGUAAUAAACUGUAAAUUUAUUUAUAGAUAUAUAAUUAUCUUAUUACUA